rnacentral:rRNA from 1 species
UACGUAGGUGGCGAGCGUUGUCCGGAUUUACUGGGCGUAAAGAGCGCGCAGGCGGCUGGUCAAGUCCGAUGUGAAAGCUCCCGGCUUAACUGGGAAAUUGCAUCGGAAACUGAUCGGCUGGAAGGUGGGAGAGGGUAGCGGAAUUCCCGGUGUAGUGGUGAAAUGCGUAGAUAUUCGGAAGAACACCAGUGGCGAAGGCGACUUACUGGACGAUUGUUGACGCUGAGGUGCGAAAGCGUGGGGAGCAAACAGG